GGACGUGAAGGCGAUCUGGCUCCGACAUCUGUAGUCCCAUUGAUUGACGGGGUUGAUUCAGCUGAUCUGGCUGGCUAGGCCAGUGUUCCCUCCUCCUUUGCGGUUGCAUGUUUGUCCCUCCUGAUGCUAUGUGUUUGCCCAAAAAGGACGACCUUCCCCGAUAGAGGAGGACAGUCUUGGGUCAAGGGUAUACAAGUAGCUGUGCCCCCCUGCUAGAASCUCCAAACCAGCUCUCCAGGACAUUUUUUUUUUCCUAUUUUGGUACCAGGGAUUGAACUCAGGGGCACUUGACCACUGAGCCACAUCCCCAGCCCUAUUUUGUAUUUCACUUAGAAACAGGGUUUU
ensembl:misc_RNA 7SK 7SK RNA